UACGUAGGGUGCAAGCGUUAAUCGGAAUUACUGGGCGUAAAGCGUGCGCAGGCGGUUUUGUAAGUUUGUCGUGAAAUCCCCGGGCUCAACCUGGGAAUGGCGAUGAAGACUGCAAGGCUAGAAUCUGGCAGAGGGGGGUAGAAUUCCACGUGUAGCAGUGAAAUGCGUAGAGAUGUGGAGGAACACCGAUGGCGAAGGCAGCCCCCUGGGUCAAGAUUGACGCUCAUGUACGAAAGCGUGGGGAGCAAACAGG
rnacentral:rRNA from 1 species